CAGUAGCCGCGGGAAUACGAAGGGUGCAAGCGUUACUCGGAAUUACUGGGCGUAAAGCGUGCGUAGGUGGUGGUUUAAGUCCGUUGUGAAAGCCCUGGGCUCAGCCUGGGAAUUGCAGUGGAUACUGGGUCACUAGAGUGUGGUAGAGGAUAGUGGAAUUUCCGGCGUAGCAGUGAAAUGCGUAGAGAUCGGAAGGAACAUCUAUGGCGAAGGCGACUAUCUGGGCCAACACUGACACUGAGGCACGAAAGCGUGGGGAGCAAACAGGAUUAGAUACCCCGGUAGUCCCUGUCUCUUAUAC
rnacentral:rRNA from 1 species